rnacentral:rRNA from 1 species
CCUACGGGAGGCAGCAGUGGGGAAUAUUGGGCAAUGGGCGCAAGCCUGACCCAGCAACGCCGCGUGAAGGAAGAAGGCUUUCGGGUUGUAAACUUCUUUUGACAGGGAAGAGAAGAAGACGGUACCUGUCGAAUAAGGCACGGCUAACGAAGGGCCAGCAGCCGCGGUAAUACGUAGGUGGCAAGCGAUGUCCGGAUUUACUGGGUGUAAAGGGCGUGUAGGCGGGUUGACAAGUCAGAUGGGAAAUCCUGCGGCUUAACCGCAGAACUGCCUUUGAAACUGUUGAUCUUGAGUACGGGAGAGGCAGUCGGAAUUCCUGGUGUAGCGGUGAAAUGCGUAGAUAUUAGGCGGAACACCAGUGGCGAAGGCGGUCUGCUGGACCGCACCUGACGCUGAGGCGCGAAAGCGUGGGGAGCGAACAGGAUUAGAUACCCCAGUAGUC